GUGGCCAACAUCUGGGGAAAGUUCAAGUGUUCUGUGGCUCCUGUGGCAAACAUGUACAGUUUUUGGCAGAAGUUGAACACAACACCCCACAGAAGAGGACCUCAUUCGGAAAUACUUUAAUGAUAGCUUCAGCUACGAUGAAAUUUGGGAUUUUCUGGAAACUACCCACAAUGUAAAAAUGAGUCUGCGUACUUUAAAGAGUAAAUUAAAAAGUCUUUCAUUAUCAAGGAAAAAAAAACGACUCCCCUCUGGCUAAUGUUCGUGCUGCCAUUCAAGAGGAGCUAAAUGGACCUGGCCAGCAUUACGGUUACCGCUCGAUGUGUCAGACAUUGCGGCAAAAGCACUCCCUUACUGUAAAAAGGGAUGAGGUCAUGAACUUGAUGAGAGAGCUUGAUCCCUCUGGAGUUCAACUUCGCAGUAAUAGAAGAUUUGUACGAAGAACAUACAGCUCUGAAGGACCCAACCACGUCUGGCAUGUUGAUGGCUAUGAUAAGCUAAAGCCCUAUGGUUUGGCCAUCAGCGGAUGUAUUGAUGGCUACUCCAGAAAAGUAUUGUGGUUGAAGUGUGGAGCAUCAAACAAUGACCCUGGGGUCAUUGCUCAAAAUUACAUACGUUGUGUCACAGAGCAUGGAGUCAUACCUAUGAGGCUGCGGCACUGAAAACGGCACAAUGGCAGCCAUCCAGUGUGCUUUAAGAUCAAGACACACUGACCAUUUUGCUGGGGCUGCCGGUCACAUGUAUGACUCUUCAACAGCAAAUCAAAGAAUUGAAAGCUGGUGGUCGUACUUCAGAAAACAGAGGUCUCAAUUUUGGAUGGAUCUCAUGAAUGACCUGAGAGAAAAACAUCACUUCAGUGGCAGUCAUGCGCACACAUGCCUAGUGCGGUUUGUCUUCAUGGGUGUGCUACAGAGGGACCUUGACGAAUGCAGGGAAAAGUGGAACACGCAUAUUAUCAGACAUGUAAACCAGUCUCGUUGUCCAUCCAGGAAACCAGAUGUCAUGUACAACCUGCCACACAGGUACGGUGGAACUGACUGUGGGUUCCCAGUCCCACAAGACGACUUGGGCCAGUUUGUUCUGGACUCGACCAACAGUCUAUGUGGAGACGACCACUUCCAGGAACACUUUGAGAACCUUCAAAGAACGAGUGGUCUAAUG